AUGUAAUCUAAACAAAAUAUAAUCAAAAUAGGAAAAUGCAGAAAAAUGCAGGUUUUUAUACUGGUAUAUAAUGAAUGUAUAUUACAAACUUAUAUGUAGUUCUAAAUAUAGAUAAUAUACAAGGAUGUGGUUGUGAAUGCAGUGUAACUGAGUCAGUUCUGUCAUUGUCUUUAAGAUGAAAUCUAAGAUAGUAUUAUAUAGUUAAUAGCAGAUUUUUUUUUUUUUAUUAAAGAACAAUUUCCAAUCCUCAGCAAUGUUGGAAAACCCAGGAAUUAUAAGUUGUAUUCAAAAUUUUAAGUUGUAGCUCAGCUUUUGUCAGAAAUUAUGCAGUCAUCUUAAGGUAUUUUAAUGUACAAUAAGAAGUGUCUUGGUUAAGGGUUACUAUACGUAACACAGAGAACACCUAUCCUUCAUAUUUCAACCCUCUACUAGCAGUUAACAGUUUUUAUGCAAAUCCAAUCAUUUCAAAUGUUUUCCAUUACAAAUCAGCUAAAUAUUUGCUACAACUGUAUACCAGCAUGCUUUUGAUUUUAAUUUAUAUAUAAAGUAAGAAGAACAGACAACAUCUUCCAUUAUUUUGAAUAGAUUUUUUCUCUAUGUUGAAAUAAGGUACAGAACAAUUAAUUGGCAUUGACAAUCUUAGAUAUCGAAUUACAUAUCAAAUGCAUUCCUUGGUUGUAUUGAUAUUAUAUAUUAAAUACUCAUUGAAUAU
rnacentral:sRNA from 1 species